rnacentral:rRNA from 1 species
CCCUUAGAUGUUCUGGGCCGCACACGCGCUACACUGAAGGAGGCAGCGUGUACUCCUGGAUCGAAAGAUUUGGGUAACCCGCGAAUCUCCUUCGUGCUAGGGAUUGAGGUUUGCAAUUAUCCUUCAUGAACGAGGAAUUCCCAGUAAGUGCAAGUCAUAAGCUUGCGCUGACUACGUCCCUGCCCUUUGUACACACCGCCCGUCGCUACUACCGAUUGAAUGAUUUAGUGAGGACUUCGGACUGGGACCGAUGCGGCUUUCGGGCUGCGUCGGUAUUCUGGAAAGAUGUCCAAACUGUAUCAUUUAGAGGAAGUAAAGNUCGUAACA